CCUGGCUGCGAGAACAGUUCCUUCCUCCUUGGCUGCUCCUGGGUGAUGAGCUUCACAGGGUGAGUUGUAGCGUGUUCGCCACCAGGUGGUGCCAUCAGCCCUACUGUGUGUUCCCUGUAAAGAUGCCACAGGACUGAGCGACCUUGGACUUCUGAAUUUCCCAGGAGAUCUCGGGGCUUUCUGCUGCAUUCAUGCUGUUCCAUGAGACCACCCUGGGGGCAGAGAGUGAGCACUCACUAAACACCUGGGCCUUGCAACACCUGCUACUCACCUCGAACUGUUCCUGGUCUACAAAGUCAAAGAAAUUAUGACUACAGCUUCUAUCAGCAACAGCAGCAGCAACAAACUUAACCCCUCCUCCUGUGCUCCUGGAACAUCGGCUGGAGGCUGUCCGGCGAGGCUCAGUGCAUCCCGGUGGGUGUGGAGCUGCAAGGCCAGAGGCUGAGACUUCCAUUCUGCGGCUGUGAUAAAACACCCUGACAAAAAUCAGUAUAAGGGAGGAGUUUAGAAUGCACGAUUCCAGAUUGCAGUAUAUUGUUCAGAGCAAGUCAAGGCAUGAGCUCCAAGCAGCUAGUCACAUUAUAUCCACAUCUAAGAGCAGAGAGAGGUGGGUGCAUGCAUGCUUUGUGCUCAACUGGCUUUCUCUGCUCUCACAUAGUCCAGGACCCCAAAUCAGGCAAUGAGGUCCCUACUUUCAGGGACCCCUGUGUGCCCUGGUUGUUUGUUUUUGGUUUUGUUUGUUUGCUUGUUAUUUGACAUAAACUAGAAGAACCACUAGUUUGAUAUUUUCCAGUUGAGAAAACGCCUCAAUCAGAUUACCUAUAGGCAAGUCUAGGGGGCAUUUUCCUGACCCAUGGAUCAAUAUGGGAGGGCCCAGAUCACCAUGAGUGUUGCCACCCCUGGGUAAGUGGCCCGGGUUUUUUAGAAAACAGCCUGAACAAGCUAUGGGGAGCAAGCCAGUAAUCAGCACACAUUUAUGGCUUCUGCUUCAGUUCCUGUCUCCGGGUUUCUGCCUGAUGGAGUGUGAUCUGAGAGUUAUAAGAGGAAAUAAACCCUUUCUUCCCCCCAUUCACUUUUGGGCAUAGUGUUUUUCUCAUAGCAAUAGAAACCCUAACACACUGUGUCUUCCACAUCAACUAAAGCAGUGAAGACAAUCUCCCACAGAC